CUCUCUGCACCAUUUUCUCCACUAAGACUCUGCUUUUACCUUACCAUUUGCGAUUUUGAACUAAAUACCGUGAGCCAAGAAAUAAUGUCUUUGCUCGUUACUCUGGUUCACGACACUUUGUUCACACUGAAGGAAACCCAACCCUGGACUUCGAAAGAAUCUGGAUUUUCCAAUUAAAGGGGCCUUGCAGGGAAUUUGCUGAUGAGGAAACAAGAUCCAUGCCAACAAGUUAGUAAGUCAAGAAACAAGUUUGAAACAGGAUUAACUCCCAAUCCAGGGUUCUUUAAGACUACCCAGCUCCUGAAGGGCUCUGACUGGAUUUAAUUGGAAGAAAUGCAUCAAUCCCAGAAGAGAAUGUUCUGGGGGGCAGCAAAGGCAGGAAGAUCUCAGCCACGGACCUUGAACCCCCAACCUGCGGGCUUCCCAGAGAGACUGCAGGUUGGCUGCCAACACCCUGAAGACAGCAAGGCUGCCCAGUCCCCCAAGGCCUGCCAAGGACAGAUUUCUACCUGCAACGUGGAGCUGGAGAGUCAUUCUCGAACAAAGGAACCCCAGAGGCCUGAACUUACUCAGAAUUGACUUCUGAGUCCUUCUAUUAUUGGGACUGACAUUUGGAGUAGGAAAGAAAUGAAAUGCUGGCCAAUUUUACAAACAUGUUUGAAAUUCUACUUAUUCAAAAAAGAAUGAACUCCAAAAUCUGCUGCUUACAUGACCUUAUUAGGAAAACCAAUUGCCUUGGUGUCUAAGAAAAAUGUAUUCUCUGUGUUUAAUUUAUACCUGAACAUUAACUAAUGCCAAAGUAGAAGUUUUAAAGGAUUAGAGAUAAAACAAAUAAUUAUCUCAUUUACUUCUUAGUAAUAUAAUUUUGGAAAAAUCUUCCUAAAAUUAUUAUAUACAAAUUUUUAGUGAUAAUGAUGGGCUUGAGAAAUCUUUACUAUUUUGGGGAAUCAUUUUGUCACACGUAGACACAGCUUUUGAAAACUAGGUUCUAAGUUCAAAUUAUUUCAAGACUUGAUUAUCAUAGUUGUCAGGACUGAAAAAUUGCUUUGGAAAAGCACACAUCAUGCAAUAUGUAUUUGGGAAGACAUUUAUGGUUAUUGAUAACAGAUACACAAAUUCAUAUUUUAAAUAGCAUUCUUGAUAAUGUCAUAUUUGGAGUUGGGCAGAUCAGACAUCUUAUUAUUUUUAAACCCUAUGUAUUUAUCUUGAUUUCUGGAUUCAAUCAGGUGACAGUGUAAAUUCCAGGAAAUAUUACUAAAGCUAAACUCCUUUCCUAUUUUUGGUUAAAAUUAGAAAAUCACGGAAGGGACCAGUGGUGGAAGAUGAACUUAGUGGUAAAGGUGGGAUGAGAACAGGUCAUUUGCAUAUUUUCAAAAUCUCUCUCCACCGUAAGCAUUUUAAUUGCUGAUGAAAAAAAAUAGCCAUUUUUACAGUGGACCUGGCAGGUGUCAUCCUAAUCAAGGGAUCACAGUUAGCGUUAAGAGUAAUAAGACACAUUGACAUCCUGUGCCACUUGAUAUGAUACAGUGAGACGGGCAUAUCACUUCUAUGAAGUUCUUGCCAAAAAGUAGAAAACCUUAGACAAAUCACAAGAAAAUAUUAGAUAGACUUAAACUGAAGGACGUUCUACAAAAUGAGAGAUCACCAGUCUUUAAAGCUGAAAAACAAAGACUGGGAACCAUUAGAGAUUGAAGAAGACUAAGGAGACGUAACAGCUAAAUUAAUAUGUGAUCCUGAACCGGAUCUGGAUAUAUUAAAAUUAUUUAGUAUUGAAGCUGGCAAAAUUCAGAUUAGGGCUGUAGAAUAGGUGAUGGUAUUUUAUCAGUGUAGUUUCCUGGUUUAGAUCACUGCAAUAUGAUUCUGUAAGGUGUUAAUAUUAGGUGAAGCUAGGUAGAGCAUAUAUAAGAACUCUCUGCAUUAUUUUUGCAACCUUUCUCUAAGUGUAUAUAUUUUAAUUAAAAAGGAUAAAUAUAAUAAUAUAAUUUGAAUCAUUACUUUCCAAUACCUGGCAGAAUUUUUGCCUCAUCCACAUAAGAGACACUGCUCUGUAAAGUCCUCAAACUGUAUUUUCUGCUCCAAACUGUGCUUCUGUGCACCUAUGCUUUUGCAUUAGCUAUUUUUACCAUCAG